rnacentral:snRNA from 1 species
AUUCCUUUGCUUAGCGGAGCAGCGACUAUUGCUAGUUGAAAACUUUUCCCAAUACCCCGCCUGGACGACGUGAAACACCGUCGGCCGAGGCAAUUUUUGGAAGGCCCUUCAGGGC